rnacentral:lncRNA from 1 species
GAGCGUGUCACGACUAGGAGUGUGUCUUCUGUAAUUGCAGGUCCCACCCUUGGCUCGAAUUGCCGUCGUGGCUUUUGUCUUUUCUUGCAGAUGCGAGCGAGGCUUCCUGGGGCCCCUGCUUGCCACGCAGCUGCAGCUUCGUGCUUGGCGUUUCCCUGAUGUGGCUACGACCUCAGGUGUCCCGUCCACCCGGAGCCCGUUCGCCACGUGGGCAGGUGUCAGAACCUCCUUGCGCCAUUCAUGACGUCACCCGCCCUUCCUGGUGACUCCAAGAUCCGCCUUGGAAACGGAGUGCUCCGCGCGCGAGGCUGCGUGUGCCCCUGGGUGUGCCUCCAGCAGCGUCCGUGCAGGUUCACCAGCCGAUUUUUUUCAUGACGAACGGCUGAUGAAUUUGAGAGAAAUACCCUUUCACUACGUGCUGAUCCUCGACGUAGCCCCUCGUUUAAUUACUAGUUGCUGCGGCGGGUUCUCUUGUGCCGUCUCCUGGUGGUGACAAACCCGGUGGGUCGCGGCGUGUCCCGCAGCGCCGCCAGACCCCGGGGCCGCUGUUGGGUCAGCACAGCCGCAUCAGAGGACUCAGGCAUCUGCUUCACAGUGAGAUGGGUCUCUGGUCCUUCGGUGUCCUCGCUGGAGGAAACGCCUGGACCCCAAUGUCUUGCUGUUUGAUCGUGACCCAGCUCUGCGUCCCCUGGAUACACGCAGCUCAAGGGGGCAUGGUGGGCAGGGCUUGCAGGCAGAGGAACCCAGUUCCAGCGGCCCGGCAAUGACUUGGUGGAAGGCAG